rnacentral:rRNA from 1 species
GAUGAACGCUGGCGACGUGCCUAAUACAUGCAAGUCGAGCGAACGGACGAGAAGCUUGCUUUUCUGAUGUUAGCGGCGGACGGGUGAGUAACACGUGGAUAACCUACCUAUAAGACUGGGAUAACUUCGGGAAACCGGAGCUAAUACCGGAUAAUAUUUUGAACCGCAUGGUUCAAAAGUGAAAGACGGUCUUGCUGUCACUUAUAGAUGGAUCCGCGCUGCAUUAGCUAGUUGGUAAGGUAACGGCUUACCAAGGCAACGAUGCAUAGCCGACCUGAGAGGGUGAUCGGCCACACUGGAACUGAGACACGGUCCAGACUCCUACGGGAGGCAGCAGUAGGGAAUCUUCCGCAAUGGGCGAAAGCCUGACGGAGCAACGCCGCGUGAGUGAUGAAGGUCUUCGGAUCGUAAAACUCUGUUAUUAGGGAAGAACAUAUGUGUAAGUAACUGUGCACAUCUUGACGGUACCUAAUCAGAAAGCCACGGCUAACUACGUG